UGGGUUGUGGCUCAGUGGUAGAGUACUUGCCUAGCAUGCACGAGGCACUGGGUUUGAUCCUCAGCACCACGU
rnacentral:tRNA from 1 species